UUGAGAGUUUGAUCCUGGCUCAGAACGAACGCUGGCGGCGCGCUUAACACAUGCAAGUCGAACGAGAAGCCGUAGCAAUACGGUUGUAAAGUGGCAAACGGGUGAGUAAUGCGUGGGUAAUCUGCCCUCGGGUGGGGAAUAACUCCUCGAAAGGGGAGCUAAUGCCGACCAUGCCCGACAGACUCGUAAGAGAUUGUCGGAAAGCCGUACCGUGGGUGCGGCGCCUGAGGAUGAGCUCACGUCCUAUCAGCUUGUUGGCGGGGUAACGGCCCACCAAGGCUCCGACGGGUAGCUGGUCUGAGAGGACGACCAGCCACACUGGCACUGCGACACGGGCCAGACUCCUACGGGAGGCAGCAGUGAGGAAUAUUGCGCAAUGGGCGAAAGCCUGACGCAGCGACGCCGCGUGGGGGAUGAAGGCCUUCGGGUUGUAAACCCCUUUCAGGAGGGAAGAUGGGGCGGAUAACCGCUCGGACGGUACCUCCAGAAGCAGCCACGGCUAACUCUGUGCCAGCAGCCGCGGUAAGACAGAGGUGGCAAGCGUUGUUCGGAUUUACUGGGCGUAAAGAGUGCGUAGGUGGUGAGGUA
rnacentral:rRNA from 1 species